UCCACCUCUUGAGAAGAUGGACUCCCUUUAACUUUAACAUGGUAGUACUUUCUGUGACUUUUGAAAUAGUAAGUGCUUCCAUGUUUUAGUAGAAGUGAAUCCAAAUUAUGCCCCUGGAUACA
rnacentral:precursor_RNA from 8 species